rnacentral:rRNA from 1 species
CCCGGGCCUUGUACACACCGCCCGUCACGUCAUGAACGUCGGCAACACCCGAAGCCGGUGGCCUAACCCUUGUGGAGGGAGCCGUCGAAGGUGGGGCUGGCGAUUAGGACG